rnacentral:lncRNA from 1 species
GCUACCAUCCUCAGUGUUUUAUAUGCCUGAUAAAACUAAAAAUAUUAAUUAUGAUUAUAAAAGCUAUCUUCUCUGUAUUGAGUUUGUUCAAAAUGAGUUAGACCCUUGUUGAGAGAUUUAUCAUGCUCCUAAGAUCAAGACAUUUAUUCAGAAAGAUUCACUCUUCCGAAGUAUUAUUGCAUUAGAGGCAUGGGCUAUGCAAAAAUAAAGAUAUUUUGAGGAAAUAAAAAGGAGCAAGUGCUCGACAACCCCGCAGAAAAAAUGGACAAGUGUCCGGCAGUAGAAUUAGGGAUACCUCGGUAUCCACUUAAAAAAAAAGAAAAUGAUAGCCCAUGGUCCCUCUAAUAAGCAAUAUGCCAGCAAGAGUUGACAAAGUUUUUAAAUUUCCAAAGUCUUCGAUCUAAGAGUAUGACAUUCCCCUCCUCGGAUCCCGUUUUGAUCAGGCAAUAAGUACAAAGUAAGUAUGCUUGAGAAUUUUUGCAAAUUAAAACAGCCUCAGUGAGAUAUAUAAAAGAUAAUGUGUGAUCUGAGAGAACCUAUGAGGAUAAAAAGGUAUGCUAACUUUCUUUCGAAAAUAUACAAAAGCUCCAAGUGACAGGAUUGAGUAGAAAGGAUCUUUACUCUUAACCAUAUACUUCCCUAACUAUAGUACACAGUGGAUUUUAACACCCUGCAAAUAUAAAGAAAAUGUUUUACCCCAAAUAUUGUUCUUAACCAUCCUUUUCUCGAGGAUGAGUAAAAGCCUAAGUAUGGGGGUAUUUGUUGACGGUUCUUAAGUAUCAAUUUUAUUUAUCAAAUAAACAAGAGAAAGGACCAAUAUACAACCAACACGUAGAAUUAGGGUUUGAUCUGACAGAGUUCCACGAGUUUUGUUGUUUAUCUGUUUCUGCAGGGGUUUAUGAGGAAAUAAGGAAGAAAGGCCCACAAGUCGGGAUUACAUAGAGAUAUCAACGCACCUCGCAAUUUUCUACCAUCUAGAAGACUCCAGAAGCCACGGGAAGAAAGCAGAGGCCGAAAGGGGCCAGGCCCAGGGCGCCCGCCCUGAGGAUCUGGGCGCCUGCCCCCUCCUAAAUGCCAUUCAAGACUCUCUUCGCACACGAUGUUCCACCGACAUAAAGGAUCAAGGAUAAGUACCACAUCGCCUACCGACCCAAAAAUGCAUAGAGGAGGAGGACUAUAUAAGGAGACCCCCCUGGCCCCUGGAGGAGACAAGAAGUUUAUCAUAGAGUUGAGGGGAGCCCUCGAAGAAAAACCUCUUCUCUAAAUAAAAUUUCUUUUUAGGCUUAGCAACUAAUGUAAGUAGAAAUAGAUCUUCUAGUUUCUACUAGAUUGAGAGAGAUAGAGUGGAGGUGUAGAUUGGAGGAAGCCCGGCUUGUCGGUGUCUACUCCAAGCUUGUACCUACGGGAUCAAGUUCUCCUAACCCGAAGCUUGCUCCUAGGAUUCUUCAGUAUUUCGACUUCUAAAUUCUAGUAUGUUCUUGUUUUAUUGUUCUUUUGGUUUAUGAGUUUACUUUAAUCUCUUCACGUAGAGUUUAGAGUAAUCAUCUCUAGCGUAGACGUGGUGUUUAAGCUAGGAUACUCAUAGAUAUUCCCUGACUAGCUAGACCGUGGUAGUAGCGAGGAACGUGACAUUUCUUAGUUACCUUUGCAGACCAUAUCUCGUUAGCAGGAAGGAUAGGGUUUAUAGGUGCGGGUUGAACAUCCUUUGUGGUGUCUAGAUUCCGUUAGCCUCCCCAAUAGAACAGUAGAUCAUCCUUACCAAGGUUAGAAGGAGAUUACGGUUGUAGUCUUCUCUAUUUAUCACUCACAUCGAGAAACAUUCUUUGUUGCCUAAAGGGUUAGUAGUAAUAGACCGGGUUAGUCAGAUGCACUCUUUCUCCUAGUGGUAAAAAAAUAAAUACGAUACUCUGGAUAACCUCUCGGGUGAAGUGCUCACCGAUAUCCGUGCGCUUGCGGAUCAAUUCCUUAUUGUGUUCCCAAAUAUCAACAACGUCGACCGUUAGAGCUGUCACUACCCUAGGGCUACCACAACAAUCGGCACGAUUGGGUGCAAUUCCAGGUAAUUGCAAGACUAAGCACCACGUCUAAUCUAUUAAUUACUACUCUAAUAUUUCAAAGAUUAGAGCACUUGAUGCAAGCGGGAAUCCAAUAAAUAACUUGAAUGUAAAUAAAAGUAAUUAAAGAACUCAGGAAUUAUGAAUUGAAGAACCUGGAGAACGAUGAAGAACGAACCAGUUGCUGCAAAAGUACAAUGUCGAGGAAGAUCCGACAGAUCCGGCUCCUCCUCCGCUCUCCUCUUCUAUCUCCCUAUUUUCUAGAUUACAACUAGAACUAACUAGAACUAGAACUAGAGGAACUAGAAUUAGAACUAGAUGAACUAGAACUAGAUCUAGAUGAACUAGAAGUAGAACUAGAAGAACUAGAGGGAUCCUCUCUACUUGGAUGAAGAAUUGAAACCCUAACUUUGAUUCUGUAGAAGAGGUAUGAUCUCCAGGGGCCAGGGGGCCUUGCUUAUAUAGUCUUUUCAGAUGAAUCUGGGCCGUUGGAUCAAACCAACAUUGAUUGAAUGGUUAUCCUUGAUCCUUUAGGUCAGUGGAGCAAUAUCGUGAAAGAGAGUCUUGAUUGGACUCUAUGUGAGGGUGGGCGCCCAGGUCAACUGGGCGGGCGCCCAGUGCCUGGCUCCGUUCGGCCUCCGCUUCCUUCCCGUGGCUUCUGGAGUCUUCUAGAUGUAAGAUAAUUGCGUGGCACAUUAAUAUCUCUAUGUAAACCCGACGUGUGGGCCUUUCCUCUGUAUUUCCUGAUAACCCCCUGCAGAAAUAGACAAACACCAAAACUCGUCGAAUUCUGUCAGAUAAAACCCUAAGUCUGGGUGUUGGUUGCAUUUGGAUAAUUUUCCAUGAUUAGUUGAUGGUUAAAUGUGAACAUUAAGGACCGUCAACAGACAUCAAGCCAAAAGAAGAUGAUGAUGUAUAAGUCAUUGAGCCACCAUCCACCUCACAUGUACCACAAGAUGAAGACAAGGAUGUGAGAGAUGCUCAUGAAGACACUCAAGUCACUCAUGAGCAAGCGGUGACACAAGCACAAGAUGUUGAUGCUCCCCAAGCAACCCCUCAAGUGGCGCCAAGAAGAUCAUCAUAUCUCCUCCAAGAUUACUCUCAAGAUCUCAUCAUCGGGAGUCCAUCACAUGGUGUAACUACACGUUCUAGACAUGCUUUAUUUAUUGAACAUCAUGCUUUUGUGUCUCUUGAAGAUGAACCAAAGAAUAUAGAGGAAGAUCUUCGUGAUGCAGAUUGGAUCAUUGCCAUGCAAGAGGAGUUGAACAACUUCUCUCGCAGCCAAGUAUGGACACUUGAAGAGCGACCCAAAGAUGCAAGAUUGAUUGGAACAAAGUGGGUCUUCUGGAACAAGAAGGAUGAUCAAGGCAAAGUGGUGCGCAACAAGGCAAGGCUCGUGGCAAAAGGCUUUUCACAAGUGGAAGGUCUUGACUUUGGUGAAACCUUUGCACCGGUGGCAAGACUUGAAGCAAUCCGUAUCCUACUUGCAUAUGGAUCUAGUCAUGAUAUCAAGUUAUUUCAAAUGGAUGUGAAAAGUGCUUUUUUAAAUGGCUAUAUUAAUGAGCUUGUCUAUGUUGAGCAACCCCUCGGUUUUGAAGAUCCUAGGUACCCCAAGCAUGUCUACCGGUUGUCCAAGGCUCUCUAUGGUCUCAAGCAAGCUCCUAGAGCUUGGUAUGAGAGGCUUAGGGACUUCCUCAUUGAGAAGGGCUUCAAGAUUGGGAAAGUUGACACAACACUCUUCACCAAGAAAAUGAAUGGGGAAAUCUUCAUUUGCCAAGUUUAUGUUGAUGAUAUUAUUUUUGGCUCUACUAAUGAAGAUUUUUGCAAGGAAUUUGGUGAUUUGAUGUCCAAGGAGUUUGAGAUGUCCAUGAUUGGCGAGCUAUCCUUCUUCCUAGGAUUUCAAGUCAAGCAAAUGAAGGAAGGGGUCUUCAUCUCUCAAGAGAAGUACACACAAGAUCUUCUCAAGAGGUUCAAGAUGAUGGAUUGCAAGCCAAUCAAGACUCCCAUGGCAUCAAAUGGACAUCUCGACUUGGAUGAGGGAGGUAACCCAAUUGACAAGACUCUCUAUCGGUCCAUGAUAGGAAGUAUACUCUACCUCACCGCAUCUAGGCCCGAUAUCAUGUUUAGUGUGUGUUUGUGUGCUAGAUAUCAAGCAAUGCCUAUGGAAUCUCACUUGAUUGCCGUCAAGAGAAUUCUUAGAUAUCUAAAAUACACACCUUGCCUAGGCUUGUGGUAUCCCACAAGUGCAAGAUUCCAACUUGUAGGCUAUUCCGAUUCGGAUUAUGCCGGGGGCCGGAUUGAUAGGAAAAGUACAUCCGGAGGGUGCCAUUUCCUAGGUAGAUCUCUUGUCUCUUGGAUAUCUAAGAAACAAAAUAGUGUUGCCUUGUCAACGGCCAAGGCGGAAUACAUUGCCACCAGUGCUUGUUGUGCACAAAUACUCUACAUGAAACAAACUUUGCUAGACUAUGAAGUAGUACUAGACAAAGUACCUUUGUUGUGUGACAAUAAAAGUGCCGUAAAACUUGCUAACAACCCGGUUCAACACACCCGCACAAAACAUAUUGACAUCCGCCACCACUUCCUUAGGGAUCAUGUUGCUAAAGGUGACAUAUCUCUAGAGAAUGUGGGAACGGAAAAUCAAUUGGCAGAUAUCUUCACAAAACCCCUAGAUGAAGCUAGGUUUUGUAUGUUGAGAAAUGAACUUAAUGUGCUUGAUCUCUCUAACUUCACUAAAAAAUGAAAUUGUGUGUUGAAACUUGUAAAUAGCUUUUGUUUUGCACAUCAUGCAUACCAAAACUAAAAUACAAAAAGUUUGUGUGUAGGGCUUGUCUAACAUGGUUAAGAUAACCCCCUUGUGUGUGUGAAAAAGCUUAACCUUGGAUGAAACUUGACAAACAUUAGUUUACUUUCAAGUAUUGCAUUUCACCUGUUAAAUCGAUCAAAGGNNNNNNNNNNNNNNNNNNNNNNNNNNNNNNNNNNNNNNNNNNNNNNNNNNNNNNNNNNNNNNNNNNNNNNNNNNNNNNNNNNNNNNNNNNNNNNNNNNNNGACACUCCUGCAGUUCCUCUCCGGGUACCGGUACUAACGGAUGUACCUGCUCCUGAAUCUCCUCUGGCUCCUCGGGUCCCACCUCGUUCUCCUGCGAGCCUGUAUGAUGCAUGUGUGCUCAUGAGUGGAGUGCGAGAUGCCCGAGGGAUGCUUGUAUGAGAAAGUACUAAAGGAAUCAUGACAUGAUGCAUAGGUGAUGUACUUGGUCAUGCUUAUUACAAGGUAGUCAACAUCAUCCAAGAACAAUUAACUGAAUCAAGCAUCUAUUGCAUUCUCUUCUACAAAUAUUUUUCAAAUGCAACUAGCAACCCCCAUGAUGCUUCAAAGAUACACCAAACCCAACUUAUUCCAUUCAACCUACAUACACAACCAUUCAUAAUUUUCUUUAUUCAUUUCUAGGCCCAUUAAAAAUCACGUGCAAUUCUGUUCAUCAAUAAAUUUCACAAAAAUUACAGGAGACUACCAGCUAAGCGUAAAGUCUACUGUAAAUUUUUCAUAAUUUUUGGUUACUUACUUUGAGCCACAAAAAUCACAAGAUUAAUUAAUAAGGUAAGUAUAAUCACCUUGCUGUGAUAUAAGUGUCAAACAACAGAUUUCAUAUUUUCACAAUUUGUCUAAUAUCAUAAGAAACACCCACGAAAUUUUCCAGAUUUAUUGCAUGAUCCAAUUAAUUAUUAAAAAUCAUAAAUCACUGCCAUGCAAGCAUUUAAAUUACCAUAAAUUCAUUUAUACACCAAAUAAUAUGUAGUAAUAUUUUUCCAGUGAGUAAACACUCAUGCAAAGCUAACAAAACAAGUUUCACAUUUUUCAGAGCCAUAUUCUAUUUACUAUGCAUUUUCCAAAUUUAACAAAAUCAUGGAUUAAAUAUAUUCACACAGAAGAGUUACUUAAUCAUGACAUGCAAACAUACUAGGCUAUAGAUCUUGAAAAACAGGGAACACACCAAAAUUUAUUUUACAAUUUUUGGAGCUAUAUCACCAAGAUAUGGAUUUUUGAACAUUUAAAUCAUUUCGCUGGAAAAACUUUUAAAACGGAAAGCCACCUAAAACGCUAAGCGCACCCGGAUUCACACCCUCGGAGUCACUGACAGGUGGGACACGCGAGUCAGGGGACCCCACCUGUCAUCCACCCUGUGACCCCGCGGCCAAAGAUCGGCCGGAAUCUCGCCGCCGGUGAGGUUUCCGGCGACACCGUGAGCACCUACGGCUGCGCGAGAACGAGACGAGUCCAACCGUACCCUCUUUGGCACCGGACGAGCACCGGAACUACCUCGCCGUCGCGAAUGGCGGACGCGGCGGCGCUGCUCGCCGUGGUCCGGCCAUUUCACGGCGGUAGAGCGUAAGCUAGCGACGGGAAAAGGUGCGCGAGGCCAAGGCGGAUCCAAAGCACCUACGAACGCAAGCAGAGACAGAGAGGAGAGGGAGAACCGUGCGAGCCGAGAGGUCGCCGGAGCUCCGACUCACUCCGGUGAGCUCUAGCGGGCACGCAGGGCUUACCGAGCGCGGAAGAGCGCAAGCACGCGACGCGGAAGGACGAGGCGGAGUCGGUGGUGGUCGCGAAGAGGAAGGAGAGGGCCGGAGCUGGCCGGGAGAGGAGCUCUGAGCCAUCGGCGGCUAUGGCGUGCGGCGGAGCGGCGGGCGCUGCGCGAGAGCGAGCAGAGAGGCGAGAGCGAGUGGUGGAGGGCGCAAAUGGGAGCGGGAGCUUCGGCGGACGCGACCAGGGGCUCCUGGUGGCCGACCAGGGCUUCUCCUCGCCGUCGCAUGCCCGCCACGCGGCGGCCAGGCUCUGCCGGCGCGCCACGGCGGCACGGCGAGGCCGUCCACGCGCGCGGACGCGGGCGCGAGCGCGGGGAGGGGGAAGGGGAAGGCGCGGGCGGGCCAGGCCGGCUUCGGCCAACGGGCCAGAAGUGAGGCCGCGGCCUGCUAGCGCCCCCUUUUCCCUUUCCUAUUUUUUUUUGAAUUUCUUUUCUCAAAUUCUCUUAUAAAUUCAUUUUGGCCAUUUUCAACUCAUUUUCACCACUUUCUCCCAAAGGCAAAGUUGUUCCAAACUAAAAACUCUACAACUUUGCUUUAAUAAGCAAAACCAAAUUCCAAAUAGAAUUUAAAUUACAAAUUAGAACCUAGUUCUAGGUUUUUAAAUAAAUUCUUUUUGGAUAUUUUGUAGAAAUUCCAUUUCUCAAAUUCCAUAGCUCCAAAAAUUACACAAAAAUAUUCUAAAUUCUUCUUACACAUAAAUCAACCUAGUUUGAAUAUUUCACAAUUUUAGGAGCAAGCAUCAUAUUUUUGACAUAUUUAUAACUCAUGAAGUGAAGCACAUAAAAUCAUAAUUUGAAAAGAGUGUCAUGCUCAUGAGGCUUAUGCUUGAUGGGAAUGCUUAUGCAUGACUUUGAUGAGACUAAGUGCAUGCUUAACACCUAGGGUGUUACAGCCCUUCCCCCCUUAGGGAAAUCUCGUCCCGAGAUUUUGGGUUACUAACCAUUUCUUAUGAAAUUUUGGAUAAACUGUUUUUAAGUAAUCCUCUGUUUCCCAGAUGGCAUCCCUAUCGUCAUGAUGACUCCACACCACCUUGUAUGUUCGAACAACUCUGUUUCGGGUUACGCGUUCCUUGGUAUCCACAAUUUCCACUGGCUGCUCUUUAUACUCCAAGUCUGCUUUUAAUUUGAUCCCCCUAGGUUCAAUUCUUUGCUCCGGCACCUUCAAACAUUUCCGCAGUUGCGACACAUGGAAGACCGGAAAGAUCGAGCUCAUCUCUUUAGGUAACUGAAUCUUAUAGGCUACUGGGCCUUUCCUCUCUAGCACUUGGUACGGUCCCACAUAUCUGGGUGCAAGCUUGCUUCGAACUCGGAAACGUUGAACUUUCUUCAUGGGCGUAACCUUGAGGUACACAUAAUCACCUACGUUGAAUUCAAGUGGUCUUCUUCUCUUAUCCGCAUAACUCUUUUGUCGUGACUGUGCCGCUUGCAUAUGCUGUUGUAUGAUCUGCACCUUUUUCUCGGCAUCAUUCACAAAGUCGAUACCAUAGUAUCUUCUUUCACCAGGUUCAACCCAGUUUAACGGAGUUCUACAUCUUCGACCAUACAAAGCUUCAAACGGGGCCAUCUUGAUACUCUCUUGAUAACUAUUAUUGUAUGAGAACUCAGCCAAAGGUAACCAUGAUUCCCACGAUCCCCUGGAUGAUAGCACACAGGCCCUCAGCAUAUCUUCUAACACUUGAUUUAGCCUCUCAGUUUGUCCUGAAGUCUGGGGAUGAUAGGCCGUGCUUCUUAUCAGACUGGUCCCCAAACUCUUAUGCAUGCGCUCCCAGAAGUGAGCAGUGAACUGCGGUCCUCUAUCUGAUAUGAUGGCCUUGGGAAUGCCAUGCAACUUGACAAUCUCAGCCAUAUAUAUAUCGGCAUACUCAGGAGGUCGGUAGCGAGUCUUCACAGGAAUGAAAUGGGCCGAUUUGGUCAAUCGAUCUAUGAUUACCCAAAUCGAGUCAUUCCCCUUCCUUGUGGUUGGUAAACCUGUGAUAAAGUCCAUACUGACCUCUUCCCAUUUCCACUCUGGAACUGAUAACGGUUGUAACAGACCUGCAGGUUUCAUAUGGAUGGCCUUAACUCUGCAACACGUGUCACAACGGGCCACAUACGCAGCUAUUUCUUUCUUCAUCUUGGUCCACCAAAAGUGGGGUCUUAGAUCUUGAUACAUUUUGCUACUGCCAGGAUGAAUAGAGAGCUUGGAGAGAUGGGCUUCAUCCAUGAUGCGAUUCUUCAAUUCCCGAUCUUUCGGGACUACUAACCGAUGUUGAAACCACAGUACCCCCUUCUCAUCAACUCGAAACUGAGUUUUUGUGUCAUCUUUGAUCUUUUCUUUGAUGUGGAAAAUACCCUUGUCGGUUUUCUGACCUUCAAUGACUUGACUCUCGAGUGAACAACUGAGUUGUAUGUGACAUAAGACUUCAGGAUGCAUGAGAUUGAACCCAUCUUCAAACAACGGUUGAACCACCUGAUAGUGCGGUUUACGACUCAAAGCAUCUGCUACUACAUUAGCCUUGCCCGGAUGAUAGUGAACUUCCAGAUCAUAGUCCUUGAUCAGCUCUAACCACCGUCGUUGCCUCAUAUUUAGCUCGGACUGAGUGAAGAUGUACUUCAAACUCUUGUGAUCGGUGUAAAUGUGACACUUAUUUCCUAGCAGAUAAUGUCUCCAAAUCUUCAAGGCAUGCACCACUACUGCUAACUCGAGGUCAUGCGUUGGGUAAUUGACUUCAUGCUUUCUCAGCUGUCGGGAAGCAUAAGCUAUCACCCUGCCAUCUUGCAUCAACACACAUCCCAGGCCACUCUUUGAUGCGUCACAAAACACAUCAAAAGGCUUCUCUAUAUUGGGUUGCACCAGAACGGGAGCAGUGGUUAGCAACUUUCGCAAGGUGCGGAAGGCUAACUCACACCCUUCCGUCCAGACGAACUUAUGAUCCUUUCAUAGCAAACUUGUCAUUGGCUUAGCAAUCUUGGAGAAGUCAGGUAUGAAACGACGAUAAUACCCGGCCAGACCAAGAAAACUUCUAACUUCCGAGACAGAAGUUGGUGCCUUCUAGUCCAUAACUUCCUGCACUUUUGAUGGAUCCACAGCAAUCCCUUCUUCAGACAGAAUGUGCCCAAGGAAAGGAACUUUCUUUAACCAGAACUCACACUUGCUGAACUUGGCAUACAACUGAUGCUCUCGUAAUCGUGUUACCACGAUUCUCAGAUGCUCGGCGUGAUCUUGUUCAUUUUCUGAAUACACCAGAAUAUCAUCAAUAAAUACCACAACAAACUUAUCCAAUUCUGGCAUAAAGACUGAAUUCAUCAGAUACAUAAAGUAUGCAGGAGCAUUUGUCAGCCCAAAGGACAUGACAAGAUACUCAUACAACCCAUAUCUGGUGGAAAAAGCAGUCUUCAGGAUAUCUUGCGGACGAAUCUUGAUUUGAUGAUACCCAGACCUCAAAUCUAUUUUAGAAAACACUCUGGCCUUGGAUAACUGAUCAAACAAGAUAUCAAUCCUUGGCAAGGGAUACUUAUUCUUGAUUGUUACGGCAUUGAGUGGACGAUAGUCCACGCACAUGCGCAACGAUUGAUCCUUCUUUUUCACAAACAACGCUGGACAACCCCAUUCCGACGAGCUUGGCCGGAUGAACCCUUUAUCCAGUAAUUCCUUUAGCUGAUUUUUCAACUCAGCGAGUUCGUUUGGGGGCAUCCGGUACGGCCUUCUAGAUAUUGGUGCUGUACCCGGUAUCAACUCGAUUGCAAACUCCACUUCCCUAUCUGGGGGAAGUCCUAGUAAAUCCUCAGGAAACACAUCAGGGAACUCACAUACCACGGGUAUGUGUUCUAGAGGAACUACCUGUACUGCACAUGAAAGUCUGGCGAAGUCCAACCGUCUAGGUAGCUUGACCUGAAGCACACCCUUCCCUUGCGGGUCUCUAAGGGAAAGAGUUCUAUUCCCGGCAUCUAUAACCGCGCCCCAGUCAGUCAGCUUGUUCAUUCCAAUGAUGACAUCCAAAACCAGUCCUGGCAUAACCACAAGGUUUACACGAAACCUCCGGCCACUGAUAUCCAAAGUAACUCCUGUUACUGUUUUAUUAGUCAACACAUCGGCUCCGGCUGAGCUGAUGCGAUAGCCAUAACCUAACUCAGUAACUGGCUGGUUAUGCUUUUGUGCAAAUGUUUGGCUCAUGAAUGAAUGCGAUGAUCCAGAAUCAAACAAAACAACUGCGAGAUGUUGGUUGACAGGAAACAUACCAGCUGUUACCGGUUCUUCUUCCGGAAUUUCCUCGAUCGAGGUAUGAUGCACACGAGCUGGAUAGGUUGGUUGUUGCCUUUUGGGGUAGGGACAUUCCUUAGCAAAGUGCCCCAUCUUGUGGCAGUUAUAGCAUGGACCUUUGGGCGCAUUGUUGGCGGCAGGUGCUGUGGCCUGGAUUGCCUUCGGCUUGGCAGGGGCUAUCGCCACCUUGUACGGCUUCUGCUGUGUUGGAUGUCCGGUGUUCCUUCUUUGCGGCGGUCGGAAUCUAGCACCUGGGGCAGGAGGACGAUACGGCUGUCGCCCUGCCACUGGUGCCCUGGACUGGGAUGAUCCGGCUUCAAAAGCCCUCUUACGAGACUUGGAUGGACUGUAGUUGUUGUUGUUGUUCUCUUGGGUCAGACAGUCACUGAUAUAGGCAUUGAAAGUAGCCCUAGCCCCUGUACCCAUGGUCUUCAGCAUCUUUGGAUUCAAGCCCCUCUGGAAACUAGCAAUCUUCUUGGCCUCCAUGUUCACAAACUCGGGGGCAUAGCGAGCGAGAUUAUUGAAAGCGUGUAGGUACUCCUUUACAGAUUUCGUCCCCUGGGACAGCCUCAUGAACUCCCCAACCUUCAUUUCAACCACGCCAGGAGGAAUAUAAUUUCCCCGGAAGGCGGUGGUGAAGCGGUUCCAGGUGAUUGGGGUCCCCUCUGGGUAGGUGGUACGAUGGUGGGACCACCAAAUCCCAGCAGGUCCUUGCAACUGAUGUGCCGCAUACUCAGCCUUAAGUUCUUCGGUCAUCCGAAGAAGACGAAACUUCUGCUCCAUGGUGUUGAUCCACUCAUCUGCUUCGAGCGGUUCCAAAGCCUCCUUGAAGAUUGGUGGCUUGGUAUCCAUGAAGUCCUUGAACGAACUGUACUGGUUGACUUCACGGCCGCCCUAGUUAUCCCCACGACGGGUGUUGUCAGCUAUGUUGCGCAGAGCUUCUUCCGUGUUGCGCUGCAUCUGUUCCAUGUUGCGUUGGCUCCCCAGAAACUGCGCAAAAAACACGUCCGCAGUGUACGGAGGAGGCGGUGGUGGUGGCGGUGUUGGUGCUCUGCCCUCAUUCCGUUGAGCCCCACCUCCGGAUGUACCUGCUCCAAGGCCCGGAUUGCUGUUACCCCCGCCACGUGUUUGCACCAUCUGCAUACGCCAAUGAUAAGCAUUCGUUAGGAGUUGCCAUCAAUGGUAGAAAAUGCGUAAAAUCGUGCCGUACUGAAUUUACUGAGGAAAUAAAUUCACACAAUAAACAAAGGCACAACAACUCAUCAUCCACACACAACAUCACUAACAGAUUACUUAACAUUCACGCAACAAGGUUCGCAUACAUCCAACUUGCCAGCAUACAUACACUGGACUUUUAGCAUUAACUCAUAAGUCUUACAUAGCCCAGAUCCAAAAGUACACGACAUGCCAUGCAACAUACAUCACAAAAGAAGAAGGGCUAGCUCUAGAGCCCUAGCAUCUACUCGCUAUGGUCACUGUCCAUGCCGGAGCCAUCCUCAUCCUCAUCACCACUAGCAGCUGCUCCUAUCUCGGGAUCCGCAUCCAUCUCGUCCUCAGAGUCUAGCUCAGCUGCUCCAGGCAGGUGGUGAGGGUGGAGCUGGUUAUGCAGCUGGUGGAUCUCCUCAUGCAAGUUCUCAUUGUACUCCUCAGCAUUAGCUAGCUGCUGCUCUAGCUCCAGGUGUCGGGCCCUCAAAGUGUCCUCCUCGUGCCAGGCUUCAUUCCUCUGUCCAAGCACAUGGACUAGCAUGCGCUCGCAGUUCCUGUGAGCAGUAGUCACCCUGUCCUUCUGCUCCCGUACUGCAAGCAGGUCCUGACUCAGCUCACUGUUCUUCUGGACUGCCUGGUCUCUCUCUCUGGUCACACGGGCCAACUCUGCCUGUAGCCUCUCAACCUCAGAGUCGAACUCACGCUGCAACUGACGCUUCUCAUCCUGGACGGUGAGAAGAGACCCGGACAAGCGACCCAAACAACGCUCUAGGCCUCCAUAGGUCUUCAUCAACGCGUACAUGGCAAUCAUAGCUGCACUGUCACUGUGCUGGUCCUCGUCCGCACUCCUCUCUAGAGCAUUUACCUCGGACUGAUCCCACACCGAAGUGUAGGGGUCACACCGGGGAAACACCCCAGCGAAGGCGUGGUCCUGCUCCUGUGGAAACCUCUCCAUGAGGUCCCUCAGAACUGCGAAAGCUGCCCUGCUGGCACCGUGGAGAGGCGUGACACCUCGGGACUCGUACACCCAGCCGCCCCAAGCGGGGUCUCCUCCACUAGUAGGGACAACUGCCUCGAUCCCCACCAGGGUCUCGUCACCAAGCGGCUCCUUAUCCCAAUAGUAGCGAGGUUCCCUUCCUUUAGGAUACCCCAUCGAGCUGAGCACCCUCCAAAGCAAAGUGGGCAUCCCAAACUCCUCCAGGAACUUGCUCUUAUGUCGCGAGCUCCUAGCUGCCAACGGAUGGUGAGGGGCCCGCCCACGAGUGGACUUGCGAGCGGUGAGCCUAGUGCGUGCCAUCUGCUGCAAAUGGAAUACCGUGGGUAAGAGCGAGGAUUACCUUUAAUUAUUUUAUUUAGAAUUGGGACAGAUUAAAUUAUGGGGGAAAGUAAGCAAUGAUAUGAAAUGAACAUGAUGCAUGCACGAACUUACGAUCUCACAAACUUAAAAACAAACGUUAACACUAAGCGGUAUAUGUGGUGGCAUACAACGUUCUCUCAUAUCGUAACUAGCGUUCUAAGCGAGAACGUGGUUAGGGUACCUGUAGAAAACUCAUUUCAGCCCACCCACACUAUGAUCAUGCAGAGCAAGAAUUUAAAACCAUGCACUUCACAUACACAGACACCUGUCCAUGCAUGUGGCGGGUCACUACCCACAUCAUCACCCUAUUGACGGCAUCGCCUCUCAGGACGGAAUUCCCAACAUGCGGUACUGUUCCCAAGACACACAAAACAUGUGUGCAUGACACAGUACCUAGCAACACUCCCCUAGACCGGCAGUAUAUCCGAUCAUGCUCUCACAGCUCCCACUUACCGUGGCGUAGAGGAAAAAGGGAUCCAUACAUUACCACUCAAAUGAAUGGCACUCAUACUAUUGCACGCCGUAUGAGCGACGAAAUAGAAAUAUGAUGCAUUCACCCCCAAGUCAGUACUUAACUAGCCACCUUAGAGUCCUUAACUGGGCAUAAGGGAUAUGACCAUGGCACACUAGAUAGUUUUCCAAAACUUAGUUUAACACCUUGAUCUUUAUUAAUUACUAAAAUCCUUCAUUAGACCGGUUUAGAUUUUGUUUAGAAUGUACUUAUGAACAGUAACUCGCUAAACCUUGCUUUGAUGCCAGCUGUAACAGAACCGACCAAAUUAUAAGAGAUUAAGCCUAACAACGACCAUUUGCAUAGUCAAACCAUCAGGCUUAAGCCCAUAUAAUCCCGGUAGUCCGUGAAAUCUCGAAGGAUUUCAAACCGCACAUCGCAUAACAGCCAAGAUCAUAAUAAGUUUAGCGGUCGCCAUCCACAAGUACAUCCAGAUUACAACAUUCAUAAAAUACAUCGGAGUGCACAAAGUUAUUACAAACCAAGUUCUUCAAGUAGCGGAAGCUUCAUUGUUCGAAAAUACGACACACACGCUUAGUCUGAUACAGUGCCAUAGUUCGGUCAUUCCCACAAAAGCAAAAGAAGAGACGGAGUGACCAUCGCCCUUGAUCUAGUCAUCACCCAUGGCUGGGUACAGACAGAGGAUGCAAUAACCAUAGUACAUUUGACCAUCUGCAAAACAACAUGGGAGUAGAACCCUGAGUACGAGAAGGUACUCAGCUAGACUUACCCGUCAUAAACUUAAAAUAAAGACUCAUCAAGGAUCAUGAAGGCUAUAUAGUGGGGUAGCUGACAACCAUUUGCCAAAACCGCAGUAUUUCACUAUCAUAACCUACAUAAGUAUCUCUUCUUUUAGUCUGCUCAAGUUGAAAGUAUCAUUACCUAUUAUCUAGGUUUGCACCUGCACUAUUACAAGCAAGUAUGAGACUAUGAUAGUACCUCAUCAUAGCAUUUCUUAAAACCAUUCAUCAUUAUAACCCAAGUGUUCCAUAGUCCUUACUACGAGGACAGGGCUCAUGUCAAGUGCUCACUAUCCAGGAGCGAUGGCGAUUCGAAUCGAUUUCUAACCAGCUGGCGAAUUUAUUCCUCACACAAACCACACUCACUGAUCAAGUGAGCUACAGGUCACCGUGUUGCACUAUCCAGGACCAAUUCGCGGGUUCGACAGGCACCGCCCGUACCCGAGGACCGUUCCGUCGACCGAGGUAUCCAAGGUAUACCAAGGUUGCGCGCCGCGCCCUCGUCGUUCUCCUCAACCAUCACCAAUACAGCGCGUACAUCGGGCUGAUUCCUGGCUCGGAUAGUGCUCAGGCUUCGCGGUUGGAACGACUUAUCCUUCCAGCUAAAUGUGGGGCAUGCGUUCAACAUGACAAGAGGGCCGUCAACGAUCGGUCCUUAAGCGACACAGGCAGGGGCACUAUGGUCAACCCACCAUAAGACCCUGCCCGGUCUCCAAAUUCAUUCCACACUUGGUCAUACUUUUCCCGAGCAACCAAUGCUUAAUCAAACAGGUAUCCACCUAUAUCUCGCAGGUGACAGGAAAUCACCCGACUUCUACCGGACUAAGCAAGCUAAGCACAGACUCCGUGCCUAUCUACAUAUGACAAGGUGGGUGAACAAGUAGGGAUAACAAGGAGUACACAUGCAGCAACGGUAUCAGGCAACUCCUAUCACUUAAUAUGCAAUACAGUAGAACAAGUAUAGUACUUCAUAUAAGUUAGCGAGGAUAGGGAGACUUAGAAUGCUCCAGGGCUUGCCUUUCUCAAAGGUGCUGGGUCGGUGAUCUGGACACACCUGCAGUUCCUCUCCGGGUUCCGGUACUUCCGGAGGUUCCUGCUCCUGAAUCUCCUCUGGCUCCUCGGGUCCCACCUCGUUCUCCUGCGAGCCUAUAUGAUGCAUGUGUGCUCAUGAGUGGAGUGCGAGAUGCCCGAGGGAUGCUUGUAUGAGAAAGUACUAAAGGAAUCAUGACAUGAUGCAUAGGUGAUGUACUUGGUCAUGCUUAUUACAAGGUAGUCAACAUCAUCCAAGAACAAUUAACUGAAUCAAGCAUCUAUUGCAUUCUCUUCUACAAAUAUUUUUCAAAUGCAACCAGCAACCCCCAUGAUGCUUCAAAGAUACACCAAACCCAACUUAUUCCAUUCAACCUACAUACACAACCAUUCAUAAUUUUCUUUAUUCAUUUCUAGGCCCAUUAAAAAUCACAUGCAAUUCUGUUCAUCAAUAAAUUCCACAAAAAUUACAGGAGACUACCAGCUAAGCAUAAAGUCUACUGUAAAUUUUUCAUAAUUUUUGGUUACUUACUUUGAGCCACAAAAAUCACAAGAUUAAUUAAUAAGGUAAGUAUAAUCACCUUACUGUGAUAUAAGUGUCAAACAACAGAUUUCAUAUUUUCACAAUUUUUCUAAUAUCAUAAGAAACACCCACAAAAUUUUUCAGAUUUAUUGCAUGAUCCAAUUAAUUAUUAAAAAUCAUAAAUCACUGCCAUGCAAGCAUUUAAAUUACCAUAAAUUCAUUUAUACACCAAAUAAUAUGUAGUAAUAUUUUUCCAGUGAGUAAACACUCAUGCAAAGCUAACAAAACAAGUUUCACAUUUUUCAGAGCCAUAUUCUAUUUACUAUGCAUUUUCCAAAUUUAACAAAAUCAUGGAUUAAAUAUAUUCACACAGAAAAGUUACUUAAUCAUGACAUGCAAACAUACUAGGCUAUAGAUCUGGAAACAGGGAACACACCAAAAUUUAUUUUACAAUUUUUGGAGCUAUAUUCAUCAAGAUAUGGAUUUUUGAACAUUUCAAUCAUUUCCUGGAAAAACUUUUAAAACGGAAAGCCACCUAAAACGCUAAGCGCACCCGGAUUCACACCCUCGGAGUCACUGACAGGCGGGACACGCGAGUCAGAGGACCCCACCUGUCAUCCACCCCGUGACCCCGCGGCCAAAGAUCGGUCGGAAUCUCGCCGCCGGUGAGGUUUCCGGUGACACCGUGAGCACCUACGGCUGCGCGAGAACGAGACGAGUCCAACCGUACCCUCUUUGGCACCGGACAAGCACCGGAACUACCUCGCCGUCGCGAAUGGCGGACGCGGCGGCGCUGCUCGCCGUGGUCUAGCCGUUUCACGGCGGUAGAGCGUAAGCUAGCGACGGGAAAAGGUGCGCGAGGCCAAGGCGGAUCCAAAGCACCUACGAACACAAGCAGAGACAGAGAGGAGAGGGAGAACCGUGCGAGCGGAGAGGUCGCCGGAGCUCCGACUCACUCCGGUGAGCUCUAGUGGGCACGCAGGGCUUACCGAGCGCGGAAGAGCGCAAGCACGCGACGCGGAAGGACGAGGCGGAGCCGGUGGUGGUCGCGAAGAGGAAGGAGAGGGCCGGAGCUAGCCGAGAGAGGAGCUCCGAGCCGUCGGCGGCUAUGGCGUGCGGCGGAGCGGCGAGCGCUGCGCGAGAGCGCGCAGAGAGGCGAGAGUGAGCGGUGGAGGGCGCAAAUGGGAGUGGGAGCUUCGGCGGACGCGACCAGGGGCUCCUGGUGGCCGACCAGGGCUUCUCCUCGCCGUCGCAUAUCCGCCACGCGGCGGCCAGGCUCUGCCGGCGCGCCACGGCGGCACGGCGAGGCCGUCCGCGCGCGCGGACGCGGGCGCGAGCGCGGGGAGGGGGAAGGGGAAGGCGCGGGCGGGCCAGGCCGGCUUCGGCCAGCGGGCCAGAAGUGAGGCUGCGGCCUGCUAGCGCCCCCUUUUUCCUUUCCUAUUUUUUUUUAAUUUCUUUUCUCAAAUUCUCUUAUAAAUUCAUUUUGGCCAUUUUCAAAUCAUUUUCACCACUUUCUCCCAAAGGCAAAGUUGUUCCAAACUAAAAACUCUACAACUUUGCUUUAAUAAGCAAAACCAAAUUCCAAAUAGAAUUUGAAUUACAAAUUAGAACUUAGUUCUAGGUUUUUAAAUAAAUUCUUUUUGGAUAUUUUGUAUAAAUUCCAUUUCUCAAAUUCCAUAGCUCCAAAAAUUACACAAAAAUAUUCUAAAUUCUUCUUACACAUAAAUCAACCUAGUUUGAAUAUUUCACAAUUUUAGGAGCAAGCAUCAUAUUUUUGACAUAUUUAUAACUCAUGAAGUGAAGCACAUAAAAUUAUAAUUUGAAAAGAGUGUCAUGCUCAUGAGGCUUAUGCUUGUUGGGAAUGCUUAUGCAUGACUUUGAUGAGACUAAGUGCAUGCUUAACACCUAGGGUGUUACAUGCCACGUCAACGAAUAAUCAGGCUGAGUAUCAAGCUUUAAUAAAGGGAUUAGAGUUAUUGAGGGAGGUUCAUGCUGAUGCCGUCAAAGUCUUCGGAGAUUCUAAGCUAGUUAUAAAUCAAUUGGAUGGAAGCUAUGAAUGCCGAAGUGAAGUUCUCAUAACUUAUUACGAGCGGAGUAUGCAAUUGUUGAAGGAAUUCAAGGAUUUCCAAUUAGAGUAUGUUCCUCGAUUGCAUAAUGAAGAGGCCAAUCGAUUAGCUCAGCAUGCCUCGGGAUAUCAGCCUAUGAUUGAUGCAAUAUCGGCAAUUGGUGCUGAUGAUUGGAGAAAAGAGAUCGCUGAUUAUUUGAAAGAUCCAUCUAAGAGAGUUGAAAGGCGAGUUUGGUUUCAAGCCACCAAGUAUGUGCUCCUCGAAGAUGAAUUGUACUACUGAACUGUUGAUGGGAUUCUUCUCCGAUGCUUGGGUGAUGAUGAAGCUAGAAGUUUGAUGGGAGAAAUCCAUGAAGGGGUAUGUGGAGCACAUCAGUCGGCCUUCAAGAUGAAGUGGAUGAUUAGGAGGAAUAGAUAUUACUGGCCGACCAUACUUGAGGAUUGCUUUAAAUAUUUCAAGGGAUGUCAAGGAUGUCAAAAAUUUGGCAAUAUUCAAAGAGCACCCGCAUCGGCCAUGAAUCCUAUUAUCAAACCUUGGCCGUUCCGGGGAUGGGCUAUUGAUUUGAUCGGCCAAAUUUAUCCACCAUCUAGCAAGGGACAUAAGUUUAUUCUAGUUGCCACCGAUUAUUUCACUAAAUGGGUUGAAGCUAUCCCUUUGAAGAAAGUCACAUCGGCCAAUACGAUUGAUUUUGUGAAGGAGCACAUUAUUUACCGAUUUGGGAUUCCUUAGACAAUUACUACCGAUCAGGGUACUAUGUUCACAUCAGGGGAAUUUGAUGAAUUCGCAAUCGGUAUGGAAAUUAAGGUGUUAAACUCUUCUCCUUAUUAUGCUCAAGCUAAUGGGCAGGCCGAGGCGUCUAACAAAGGAAUUAUCAAGCUUAUCAAGUGAAAAAUUGAAGAAAAUCCUAAGCGGUGGCACACAUUAUUAGGUGAAGCUUUAUGGUCAUAUCGAAUGGCUUGUCAUGGAUCAACCAAAGUUAAGUUUCGCCUUAUCAGUUAGUGUAUGGACAUGAUGCAGUGUUGCCUUGGGAGAUUAAGGCUGGAUCUAGGCGACUAUCUUUUCAAGAUCAAUUGGCUACCGAUGAUUAUGCUACUUUGAUGACAGACGAGUUGGAUGAUUUAGUAGGGCAUCGGCUGAGGGCUUUGAUGAGUAUAGAAGAGAAUAAGAAAAGAGUUGCCAGAUGGUACGAUAAGAAGGUGAAGGCUAAGGUAUUUGCCGAUGGAGACUUAGUAUGGAAAUUAAUCUUACCGAUCGGGACUAAAAGUUCAAAGUUUGGGAAGUGGUCUCCCAAUUGGGCAGGUCCCUAUCGGAUAAGUCGAUCGGCUCCUGGUAAUGCCUACAUUUUAGAAACUCUCGAAGGAGUUGAAUUUCCCAGAGCAUUAAAUGGCAAAUAUCUAAAGAAGUACUACCCCAGUAUAUGGGUCGAUGCAUAGAAGUUCAAAUGCCGAUAACACUCCUAUCGGCUAGAUUAAAAUGUAUCUAAGGCCAGACUUAAUGUUGCAAAAGAUGCCGAUAACUGUCCUAUCGGCUAGACUAAACAUUAAGAAAGCUGAAAAAUAGGAAGAGGCCGAUGUGUUGCCGAUGAGGAGCUCACAUACUUAGCAGUGCUUGGAUGGCCGAUAUAGCGCGCAGGCGGAUCUGGUUGGCUGCUUCUAUUUCUUUGACGUCUUCAUCGGCAGAGCCUUCUAUCGGCUUCAACUUUUUCUUCAACUGCAGUGCUUUGCGACCAUGAGCGUUUCGUUCUUGUUCAAGGAGUUUGAUGGUCUCUGGCAGUUGACUCUCUUCCUAUUGGGCUUGAGAUAGGGUGUCCUCCACUUGCUUGAGUUCUGCCAGCAGGGCUUCUCUCUUGGCCGAUAAGUCGGAGAUCUUCUGUUUCAGUGCGGCUCCUGAAGACUUCAAGGCGCCGAUGCUCUUGUGUUUCUCAUUGGUCAGGAGCUUCUCUUUCAUCAUCUCCUCAGAAAGUCGGGUCUGAGCAGCUCUAUCGGCAAGGCGCCGGGCGGCCCUUUGGUACUGCAGCUGACGACUUUCCAGAUGUGCGGCCUGGAAGAGGGUUUCUUCGGCAUCGGCAGGAAUCUAGCUUCUGAGGGCCUUGAACAGAACCUUGGCCGGAUCAGAGUCAUCGACCAAUUGGGCCGUAUCUUGAUGGAGGAGGGCCGACAGUUCUUCCAGUUUAGUCCUGAUCUCUGCCGAUGAAAUCCCAACUGCCCGGGAGGAACUGGCUUCCUCACCUUCGUCUUCGGAGACAUCAAUAGCGAAAGAGAAUAGGCUGUCGGGAGAAUCCUGCUCCUAAAAAGGAAAACAAAGUGAGUCGUUCUAUGAUAAGAGCAUCGGCAAAUAAGACUGGUAGAGACUGGGUGGCUUACUUGCUUCAAGGCGAUCUCUCGCCUUUGGCUGGAAGAUGCCGAUGGAGCCAUGGAUUGGUCGGCCAGAGUUGCCGAUGGAACUACGUCAGCUACAAAUUAAUAGAAGGGGUUAUAAUACCAAAAAGAAUAAGUUCAUCGGCAGUAAUGUUAUAGGAAUGCGUUACCUUGAGGAAGGACGACGCUUGUGAAAGGAUCAAGAUGCCCAAGAGGGGGGUGAAUUGGGCUUCUCUAAUGAAUUUAAGCAACCUAUAAGCUCCAAUUCAACCCCUUGUGCCUAGUGUUGACGGUUCUUAAGUAUCAAUUAUAAUUAUCAAAUAAACAAGAGAAAGGACCAAUAUGCAACCAUCACCUAGAAUUAGGGUUUGAUCUGACAGAAUUGCACGAGUUUUGUUGUUUAUCUAUUUCUGCAGGGGGUUAUCAGGAAAUAAGGAAGAAAGGCCCACAUGUCGGGAUUACAUAGAGAUAUCAACGCACCGCGCAAUUUUACAUCAUCUAGAAGACUCCAGAAGCCACGAGACCGAAGCGGAGGCGAAGCUGGGCCAGGCCCAGGGCGCCCGCCCUGGAAGCCUGGGCGCCCGCCCCCCUGCUGGAGCCAAUUCAGGACUCCUUCGCUCGGGAUAUUCCACCGACCUAUUGGAUCAAGAAAAACAUAGUACCACCUCGGCUAUCGACCCAAAAACGCAUAGAAGGGGAGGACUAUAUAAGCGAGGCCCCCCUGGCCCCUGGAAGACAUGAAGAAAUUAUCAUAGAGACUGAGGGGUGCCCUCAAAGGAAAACCUCUUCUCUAAUUAAUAUUUCUUUUUAGGCUUAGCAAUCAAUGUAAGGUAGAAAUAGAUCUUCUAGUUUCUACUAGAUUGAGAGAGAUAGAGUGGAGGUGUAGAGUGGAGGAAGCCCGGCCUGUCGGUGUCUACUCCAAGCUUGUACCUGCGGGAUCAGGUUCUCCUAACCCGAAGCUUGCUCCUAGGAUUCUUCAGUAAUUCGACUUCUAAAUUCUAGUAAGUUCUUGUUUUAUUGUUCUUAUGGUUUAUGAGUUUACUUUAAUCUCUUCGCGUAGAGUUUAGAGUAAUCAUUGCUGGCAUAAACGUGGUGUUUAGGCUGGGGUACUCAUAGAUAUUCCCUGACUAGCUGGACCGUGGUAGUAGUGAGGAACGUGACAUUUCCGAGCUACCUUUGUAGAUCACAUCUCGUUAGCAGGAAGGAUAGGGUUUAUAGGUGCGGGUUGAACAUCCUUUGUGGUGUCUAGAUUCCGUUAGCCUCCCCAUUAGAACAGUAGAUCAUCCUUACCAAGGUUAGAAGGAGACUACAGUUGCAGUCUUCUCUAUUUAUCACUCACAUCGAAAGACAUUCUUUGUGCCUAAUGGUUAGUAGUAAUAGACCGGUUAGUCAGAUGCACUCUUUCUCCUAGUGGUAAAAAAAUAAAUACGAUACUCUGGAUAAUUUCCCGGGUGAAGUGCUCACCGAUAUCCGUGCGCUUGCGGAUCAAUUCCUUAUUGCGUUCCCAAAUAUCAACAAGCAUUUCUGGCGCCGUUGCUGGGGAGAAAGACGGUUGCUGAGAUAACCUGUGUCUUGCUACUAGCUUGUAUCUAUACUUUUAUCUUUUUUAUCUUUUAUAUCCUUUAUUUAUUUUUCUUUAUUCUUAGCUUAUGGAAAACCAAAAUUCUAAAUCGAUCCAUGAGUCUGCAAUCCCUUUAGCAACUGACCUUUUGCCAUGGGAAUCAUCACAGCCUAUCCAAACACCCCAGUAUAAGUUAAGUUCUAGGUUGAUUGCCAUGAUUCAAAACCUAUCUUUUUCGGGAAAGGAAGACGAAAACCCUUACCUUCAUAUUAGAGAUUUUGAGCAAACAUGUGAUUGUCUUCGCAUUGAAGGCAUUUCUGAUAAGACUUUAUGUUGGAAGCUUUUUCCUUUUUCUCUAAGGGGAGAAGCUAGACAAUGGUACAGUCAGAAGGUAAGUCAACAACAAGGUGAAUGGGGAGUUUUACGAGCCAACUUUUGUCUAGAUUUCUAUUCCCUUGACCGUAUAGCCGACCUUAGACUCGAAGUCCUAUCUUUUAAACAAAAAGAUAAUGAAACUUUGGGAAAAUCCUGGAAACGUUUUUCUGAUCUUUUAGAAUCUGGUCCAAACCAUAAUCUUGAAGACCCUGUUCUUUUAUUUCACUUUUUUCGAGGUCUUCAUAAAAAUCACAAACAAAUGCUUCACACAAUGUCUAGAGGUUCUUUCUUUCGCAUCCCUGCUAAUGAAGCUAGAGUGAUCCUAGAUAGAAUCCUAGAAGCUAAGAUGGAUAAUACCCUUCAUGAUGAAAGCUACGAAGCCGAAGUAGACACUCUACCAAAUUCUUCAUCUACUUUAGCUAUCCUAAGUUCUGAGCCACAAGAGGAAGAAAUUCCACUACCGGACUUCAUGCUGGAUAUACAAUCCGAUCUUUUUGCCGAUUUUGGAAAUAUUUCAAACUACCAUUCUAUUGACAAACCCCAAAACGGUCAGUUUAGCAUUUAUUUACUAAGUGAAUAUCAAUUGAGAGAGCUUAUCUCAGUCAUGAGUAGCGAAUGGUUGGAGGAAUCAGAGCUUUCCUCUGAUGUGAUCCGUUUGGACACACCCUCUAUAACUAUACGCUGUGCUUAUUAUUCUGAUCGAUUUAAUGCUCUUUAUAAUCCUGUUGUGGGGAUCAACAUUAUGUCUAAAUCCUUUGCACUUAAACUAUUUAAAAAUCUUAUCUUAACCCCCACAACAAAGGUCAUAAAGGAAUCUUCGGGACGACUAGUCCCCAGUCUUGGAAUUAUUAAUGUCCUACCUCUUACAGUAGAAGGCUCCAUGGUUCACUUGAACUUCUAUAUCUUUGAUACAUGGGACUUCGACCUGUUAAUAGGACAACCUUUUAGAAGACUCCUUUAUGAAGGUCAUACUGGAAAGCUACACAUUUCUUUUGGAAAAACUUUUCAAUUCCUAAUGAUAAUUUCAUACUCCUUAAAUAAUAAGGCCGAGUCAUAUCUUUUGCCUGAUCCUAUGGAGGAAGUAAAGGCUGCAUCUCUAGAGCUUUUAGAUGAACCAGACUUAGAAGACGAAACUCCUUUCUUCACAGAAGAAGAAGACGAACCUUCUGAGCCUGAACCCUUAGAUGAGUUUGCAGAAACACCUAGACCCCCCAUAGAACAUAAAACUUUACCACCCGGUCUUACCUAUGCUUUCCUAAACAAUAAUCCAGAGUUUCCCGUGAUCAUUAGUGAUAAACUCACUUAGGAUCAGACUCUGCAAUUAAUGACCAUUCUUGAGAAACAUCACUCAGUUUUCGGCUACUCACUUCAAGAUCUUACAGGAAUCAGUCCUAUGAUUUGUACUCAUCGUAUUCCAACAGAUCCUUCUGUUACACCCUCUCGAGAACCCCAACGUAGACUUAACAAUACUAUGAGAGAGGUAGUUAAAAAGGAAGUUAUAAAGUUGCUGCAUGCAGGGAUUAUAUAUCCUGUGCCGCACAGUGAGUGGGUGAGCCCAGUACAAGUUGUGCCCAAAAAGGGAGGCAUGACAGUUAUUAUGAAUGAAAAGAACGAGCUAAUUCCGCAACGCACCGUCACAGGAUGGCGGAUGUGCAUAGACUAUAGAAAAUUAAACAAAGCCACGAGAAAGGAUCACUUUCCUUUACCUUUCAUAGAUGAGAUGCUAGAGCGGUUAGCAAACCAUUCAUUCUUUUGUUUCUUAGAUGGAUAUUCAAGAUAUCACCAAAUCCCGAUCCAUCCUGAUGAUCAAAGCAAAACCACUUUUACAUGCCCGUAUGGAACUUAUGCUUAUCGUAGAAUGUCUUUUGGGUUAUGUAAUGCACCAGCUUCUUUUCAAAGAUGCAUGAUGUCUAUAUUUUCUGAUAUGAUUGAAGAGAUUAUGGAAGUUUUCAGGGAUGAUUUCUCUGUUUAUGGAAAAACUUUUGAUAGUUGUCUUGAAAACUUAGACAAGGUUUUGCAAAGAUGUGAAGCAAAGCACUUAAUCCUUAAUUGGGAAAAUGUCAUUUUAUGGUUAGAGAAGGAAUAGUGCUAGGACACUUAGUGUCUGAAAGAGGUAUUGAGGUAGACAAAGCUAAAAUUGAAGUAAUUGAACAACUACCCCCACCUGUGAACAUAAAAGGAAUUCGAAGCUUUCUUGGCCAUGCUGGUUUUUAUCGUAGAUUCAUAAAAGAUUUUUCAUUUAUUGCUAGACCACUUACUCUUUUGCUAGCCAAGGAUGCUCCUUUCGAAUUUGAUGAUGCAUGUCUAACAUCUUUCAAUUUAUUAAAGAAAGCACUCAUCUCUGCACCAAUCAUUCAACCCCCUGAUUGGUCGUUGCCUUUUGAAAUUAUGUGUGAUGCUAGUGAUUAUGUUGUAGGGGCAGUAUUAGGAUAAACUAAAGAUAAGAAGCAUCAUGCAAUUGCUUAUGCCAGUAAAACUUUGACAGGAGCUCAGCUUAAUUAUGCAACCACUGAAAAAGAGCUUCUGGCUGUUGUCUUUGCCAUAGAUAAAUUUAGAUCUUAUUUAGUUGGAGCUAAAAUAAUUGUUUACACUGAUCAUGCUGCAUUAAAAUAUUUGCUCACUAAAAAAGAUGCUAAACCUCGCCUGAUUAGAUGGAUCUUAUUACUCCAAGAAUUUGACUUAGAAAUAAAAGAUAAAAAAGGAGUAGAAAAUUCUGUUGCUGAUCACUUGUCUAGAAUGUAUUUUAAGAGUCCACAGGAAACCCCCAUCAAUGAUUCACUCCGGGACGACAUGCUCUACGGGAUUAACAGGUCUGACCCCUGGUAUGCAGAUAUUGUUAAUUUUAUGGUUUCAGGGUAUGUACCACCAGGAGCAAACAAGAAGAAGCUUACUCAAGAAAGUCGUUCACAUAUAUGGGAUGAGCCAUACCUCUUCCGAGUAUGCUCUGACGGCUUACUCAGGAGAUGUGUGACCACUGAGGAAGGAUGGAAGAUCAUUGACAGAUGUCAUUCAUCACCAUAUGGAGGUCAUUAUGGAGCAUUCCGUACACAUUCAAAGAUCUGGCAGUGUGGAUUCUAUUGGCCUACAAUGUAUGAAGACACGAAGCAUUAUAUCAGAAGAUGUGGGCCAUGUCAAAGGAACGGAAACAUAAAUACAAUGGAUGCAAUGCCACUCACCAACAACCUUUAGAUUGAGCUCUUUGAUGUCUGGGGAAUAGACUACAUGGGUCCAUUUCCUCCAUCAAAGAAGUGCGAGUACAUCUUGGUGGCGGUUGACUAUGUCUCCAAGUGGGUAGAAGCAUUACCUUGCAAGCAUGCCGACAACGUCAGUUCAAAGAGGAUGUUUGAAGAAAUUAUAUUUCCAAGAUUUGGAGUUCCCAGAGUAGUGAUAAGUGAUGGAGGAGCACACUUCAUCAACAAACACUUCAAGCAAUAUCUAUCAAGACAUGGAAUUUGUCACAACGUCGCUACCCCCUAUCAUCCUCAGACAAGUGGCCAAGCAGAGACUUCCAACAAACAAAUCAAGAAUAUUCUUCAGAAGACAGUAAAUGAAAUGGGAACGGCGUGGAAAGACAAGUUACCCGAUGCACUCUGGGCAUACCGGACAGCAUACAAGACCCCAAUUGGAAUGUCUCCAUACCAAUUGGUGUACGGGAAGACUUGCCAUCUACCUGUUGAACUAGAGUUCAAAGCACACUGGGCCAUAAAGAGAUGGAAUAUGGACCUAGAUGUUGCUGGAGAUUAUAGAAGAAUGCAACUAUCAGAAUUGGAAGAAUGGCGAGAGAAGGCAUAUCACAAUUCAAAAAUCUACAAAGAAAGAGUCAAGAGGUGGCAUGACAAGAGAAUCAAGAAGAAGGAGUUCACACCCGGAGAUAAGGUAUUACUUUUUAAUUCCAGGGUGAAGCUUUUCAGGCAUGGAAAACUCCGGAGCAAAUGGGAAGGACCAUUCAAGGUAAUCAAUUCAUCAUCCCACGGAGCUAUCACACUUCAAAAUAGCGAAGGUAUGUUAUUCAAGGUAAAUGGUCAACGUCUUAAAUUAUUUUUAGAGCCCAAUGAGGAAAUUGAAGAAAUAGACGUAGUCCAUUUUUACCUUCCCAUGGAGAAUUAGAGCCCGACACUUUUGGUCUGAUGGUUUUGGGGCAUAUAUAUAUUUUUCUAAAUAAUUUCGCAUCUAGAAAUGCGCUCAGAAAAGUGGGCCCACAGAGGAGCCAGAGAGAGGGCGGGCGCCCAGGUCAAGUGGGCGGGCGCCCAGGUCAAGUGGGCGGGCGCCCUGCCCCUGUUCCCCCUCGGUCCCGACUUUCUCUGUUAUGGAAAAUGCACUUAUGGUAAUUCGAAUAAUCCCUCGGAUAGAAAGUUUCCCACGCGAGUCGACGGGAGCAACCCGAACAACCCAUAGAGGCAUCCUUUUGACCCCUAUAUAAACAGACCCCUGACCUCAGUUUUCAAACACCAAGCCACCAAGCUUUCUCUCCUUCAAUUAGAGCUUAAUUAGCUCUCCUUCAAUUAAAAUUUUAUUAGUUCCUUGCUACUCCAAUGGCCGACAAGUACCACGACGAUUGGGAAGUCGUCCCCUUCAACCUCAACAUGGAGCCAGUGGAAGACCCCGAUGCCCGUGCUCUCAUCCCGGCCAACACAGAACGUCAGCUAGAAGCCAUUCCAUUACGCCAACGCAGCUCCGCCCAAUCUUACCAUGCUCAACCAGUUCUCACCGCACCACCACAACCCCUACUCCUCAAAGGAUCAUCAUCAAAGACAAAGACCACUAUCAAGGUGCCAAUCGGCACAAGAGUCCUUCCACCUAGACCCAAUGAGAGGGUCGUUGGAGUCAAGACCAACCGAAGCGGUGAGAUCAGCAGUGUUCGCUACACUACGAAGGAGGAAAGGCCUUACUUUGAAGGGAUUAGAGCAUCCAAAGUCCGUUUCAUCCCUCCAAAGGCAGCCCCAAAGCACGCUCUCAAUGCUUUUGAGACACCUCCCAAGCGUCGCAAGACUAUAAUGGAUAUUGAUGAGGAAGUUCGCAGGCUAGAUAGAAUUAUCAUAGACCUCCAGUCCUCGAUUAAUUCCCACACUAGGCAGCUCUCUAACCACAACACCAUUAUACUAGGCCUUAGGCAGGAUCUUGCCAGUGCCAACAAGAAGAUCAAGGAAUUAGAGCGCCGCUAAGUUAUCUAGAUUAGACCUUGAGGCAAUGCAUCUUAGUUAUCUAUCUUUAAAUUCGGUUUAAGUUUGCUAUUAUCAGUUUGUUAUUAUCAGUUUGUUAUCAGUUUGCUAUCAGUCUUUUUAAUAAAUGCCUCAAGAUCAAUAAAGAGUAUUACUAUUAUUAUUAUGUCUUGUGUGUCUCUACUUUAUUUUUGUGCAAGAAAGCAGAAAACAAGUAUGGGGGAGAUCCCUCGACAUGCCAACCACACUCCGACUACACCACUCCACGAUUCAGGUACACACUCUGCACACUUUACUUCAUACAUACAUUUAUUUUGGAUUAUGCAGAUUACUGUUUCCGACAUGAUAAAAUAAAAAGAUUAAAAUAUUUCUAAUCAUGAUUAAUCUCAAUCUGUGAUAUUUCCUGAAAACUUACAAUUAUUAUAAAAUCAUUUUAAAACCCUGUGUUACUUAAGUCAAGAUGGAAUAUGUGAUGGUAGAGUAUGAGUUUCUUAUUCUUGAUAUCAUUGUUGCUUGGAGAAUUUAUUUCAAAAUAUUCAAAUUUCUAGCUACCAUCCUCAGUGUUUUAUAUGCCUGAUAAGACUGAAAAUAUUAAUUAUGAUUAUAAAAGCUAUCUGCUCUUAAUUGAGUUUGUUCAAAAUGAGUUAGACCCUUGUUGAGAGAUUUAUCAUGCUCCCAAGAUCAAGACAUUAUUUCAGUAAGAUUCACUCUUCCGAACUAUUAUUGCAUUAGAGGCAUGGGCUAUGCAAAAAUAGAAAUAUUUCGAGGAAAUAAAAAGGAGCAAGUGCUCGAUAACCUCGCAGAAAAAAAUGGACAAGUGUCCGGCAGUAGAAUUAGGGGUACCUCAGUAUCCACUUAGUAAAAAAAAAAGAGAAAAAAAAAUGAUAGCCCAUGGUCCCUCUAAUAAGCAAUAUGCCAGUAAGAGUUGACAAAGUUUUUAAUUUCCAAAGUCUUUGAUCUAAGAGUAUGACAUUCCCCUCCUCGGAUCCCGUUUUGAGCAAGUAAUAAAUGCAAAGUAAGUAUGCUUAAGAAUUUUUGCAAAUUAAAACAACCUCAGUGAGAUAUAUAUAAAAGAUAAUGAGUGAUCUGAGAGAACCUAUGAGGAUAAAAAGGUAUGCUAACUUUCUUUUAAAAAUAUACAAAAACUCCAAGUGGCAGGAUUGAGAAGAAAGGAUCUUUACUCUUAACCAUAUACAUCCCUGACUAUGGUACACAGUGGAUUUUUAACACCCUGCAAAUAUAAAGAAUGUUUUAAAUGUUUACCCCAGAUAUUUUUCAUAACCAUCCUUUUCUCGAGGACGAGUAAAAGCCUAAGUAUGGGGGUAUUUGUUGACGGUUCUUAAGUAUCAAUUUUAAUUAUCAAAUAAACAAGAGAAAGGACCAAUAUGCAACCAUCACCUAGAAUUAGGGUUUGAUCUAACAGAAUUCCACGAGUUUUGUUGUUUAUCUAUUUCUGCUGGGGGUUAUCAGGAAAUAAGGAAGAAAGGCCCACAUGUCGGGAUUACAUAGAGAUAUCAACGCACCGCGCAAUUUUACAUCAUCUAGAAGACUCCAGAAGCCACGAGACCGAAGCGGAGGCGAAGCUGGGCCAGGCCCAGGGCGCCCGCCCUGGAAGCCUGGGCGCCCGCCCCCCUGCUGGAGCCAAUUCAGGACUCCUUCGCUCGGGAUAUUCCACCGACCUAUUGGAUCAAGAAAAACAUAGUACCACC